rnacentral:rRNA from 1 species
ACCCGCACAAGCAGCGGAGCGUGUGGUUUUAAUUCGUUGCUACACGAAGAACCUUACCUGGGUUUGACAUAUAGGUUGUAGGGAACUGAAAAGGACGACCCUUCGGGGAGCCUAUACAGGUGUUGCAUGGCUGUCGUCAGCUCGUGUCGUGAGAUGUUCGGUUAAGUCCGCUAACGAGCGCAACCCUCGUCGUAUGUUAUAUGUGUCAUACGAGACUGCCGGUAAAAAGCCGGAGGAAGGUGAGGAUGAUGUCAAGUCAGCAUGACCUUUAUAUCCAGGGCUACACACACGCUACAAUGGUCUGUACAAUGGGUAGCCAAGCCGCGAGGCGGAGCCAAUCCUGAAAGCCGGUCUCAGUUCGGAUUAGAGUCUGCAACUCGACUCUAUGAAGUUGGAAUCGCUAGUAAUCGCGGAUCAGCACGCCGCGGUGAAUACGUUCCCGGGCCUU